UACGGAGGGUGCAAGCGUUAAUCGGAAUUACUGGGCGUAAAGCGUGCGCAGGCGGUUUGUUAAGUCUGCUGUGAAAUCCCCGAGCUCAACUUGGGAAUUGCAGUGGAUACUGGCAAGCUGGAGUACGGUAGAGGAAGGUGGAAUUCCCGGUGUAGCAGUGAAAUGCGUAGAGAUCGGGAGGAACACCAGUGGCGAAGGCGACCUUCUGGACCAGUACUGACGCUGAGGAGCGAAAGCGUGGGGAGCGAACAGG
rnacentral:rRNA from 1 species